rnacentral:lncRNA from 10 species
GUGAUUCCAAUGGACUCAUUCAGCCCCAGCUUUGAAUGGUAGGACCGUAUCUGCUAUUCAGUUUUUGAAAUACAGCUGUGCCAUGUGCACUGAACCUUCACACUGGGACUCAGCUGCCAUGCUUCACCUUGGGUAUAAUGAUGACAGAGGUUGAGAAAGGUGACUCCCUCCAUUGAUGUAUUUCGCCAUGAUUACCUCCCACCAAAUGAUACUAAUACUCCUGAAAAUACUUAACAUUUAUAAAAUGUUUAUUUUCUGAUUCAUGCCAAA